rnacentral:rRNA from 1 species
GUGCUAAGGUAGCAUAAUCAUUUGCUACUUAAUUGGUAGCUGGAAUGAAAGGUUAAACUAGCUUACUCAGUUUGUUGUGUUUUGUAAGAAAUUAAAGUCGAGGUAAGAAUUCUUUGAUCUGCUAGGGGACGAUAAGACCCUAGAAGCUUAACAAUAAGAGUAUUUAUUAGUUAUAAAAAUUAAUUUGUUUUACUGGGGCGGUAAAGGUAUAUAAACUAUUAGUGUAUUGAUAGAUCCUUAAAAUAAAGAUAAAACGGGAAAGUUACUCUAGGGGUAACAGUGCAAUAUUUUUGGAGAGAUCAUAUCGAUAAAAAUGUUUGCAACCUCGAUGUUGAAUUAAGAUGUCUACGUGAAGCAGCAGGUACGUGAGAGGGUUU